rnacentral:rRNA from 1 species
AGUGAACGCUGGCGGCAGGCCUAAUACAUGCAAGUCGAACGGCAGCACAGCAGAGCUUGCUCUGUGGGUGGCGAGUGGCGGACGGGUGAGGAAUACAUGGGAAUCUGCCCAGUCGUGGGGGAUAACGUAUGGAAACGUACGCUAAUACCGCAUGCGCCCUACGGGGGAAAGCCGGGGACCGAAAGGCCUGGCGCGAUUGGAUGAGCCCAUGUUCGAUUAGCUAGUUGGCGGGGUAAAGGCCCACCAAGGCGACGAUCGAUAGCUGGUCUGAGAGGAUGAUCAGCCACACUGGAACUGAGACACGGUCCAGACUCCUACGGGAGGCAGCAGUAGGGAAUAUUGGACAAUGGGGGCAACCCUGAUCCAGCCAUGCCGCGUGAGUGAAGAAGGCCCUCGGGUUGUAAAGCUCUUUUGUCCGGAAAGAAAAGCAUUCGGUUAAUACCCGGGUGUUCUGACGGUACCGGAAGAAUAAGCACCGGCUAACUUCGUGCCAGCAG